rnacentral:rRNA from 1 species
UACGAAGGGGGCGAGCGUUGUUCGGAUUUACUGGGCGUAAAGGGCGCGCAGGCGGCUACAUUUGUCAGGCGUGAAAGCCCCGGGCUUAACCUGGGAACUGCGUUUGAUACGGUGUGGCUAGAGUUCGGGAGAGGAGAGUGGAAUUCCCAGUGUAGAGGUGAAAUUCGUAGAUAUUGGGAGGAACACCAGUGGCGAAGGCGGCGAGCUGGUCCAUUACUGACGCUGAGGCGCGACAGCGUGGGGAGCAAACAGG